rnacentral:rRNA from 1 species
CGCACCCUACGGGGCGCAGCAGUGGGGAAUAUUGCACAAUGGGGGAAACCCUGAUGCAGCGACGCCGCGUGAGCGAUGAAGUAUUUCGGUAUGUAAAGCUCUAUCAGCAGGGAAAAAAAUGACGGUACCUGACUAAGAAGCCCCGGCUAACUACGUGCCAGCAGCCGCGGUAAUACGUAGGGGGCAAGCGUUAUCCGGAUUUACUGGGUGUAAAGGGAGCGUAGACGGUCCUGCAAGCCAGAUGUGAAAGCCCGGGGCUCAACCCCGGGACUGCAUUUGGAACUGUAAGGAUAGAGAGUCGGAGG